rnacentral:rRNA from 1 species
UACCAGCACCCCGAGUGGUCGGGACGAUUAUUGGGCCUAAAGCAUCCGUAGCCGGUCAUGCAAGUCCUCCGUUAAAUCCACCUGCUUAACAGAUGGGCUGCGGAGGAUACUACAAGGCUAGGAGGCGGAAGAGGCAAGCGGUACUCAGUGGGUAGGGGUAAAAUCCUCUGAUCCAUUGAAGACCACCAGUGGCGAAGGCGGCUUGCCAAUACGCGCUCGACGGUGAGGGAUGAAAGCUGGGGGAGCAGACCGG